GUAGGUGAACCUGCGGAAGGAUCAUUAUUGAAAUAAACCUGAUGGGUUGCUGCUGGCUCUCUAGGGAGCAUGUGCACGCUUGUCAUCUUUAUAUCUCCACCUGUGCACCUUUUGUAGAUCUGGAUAUCUUUCUGAAUGCCUGGCAUUCAGGUUUGAGGAUUGACUUUCGUCUUUCCUUACAUUUCCAGGCCUAUGUUUUCUUCAUAUACCCCAUGUAUGUUAUAGAAUGUAAUAAAACGGGCCUUUGUGCCUACAAACCUAUACAACUUUCAGCAACGGAUCUCUUGGCUCUC
rnacentral:misc_RNA from 1 species